ACGGCUCAGUAACACGUGGAUAACCUGCCCUUGGGUCCGGCAUAACCCCGGGAAACUGGGGAUAAUUCCCUAUAACGCACAUAUGCUGGAAUGCUUUAUGCCCAAAAUGUAUUCCUCUGUCCAAUGAUGCUGCUGCCGACUAUCAUGUAGUCGUGGGUGUAAUGCACCUACUAACCAACCACGACUACGUGUUGUAACAACAACACCCCGGAGAUGUAUUCUGAGACAUGACUCCACCUCCUACGGGGCGCAGCAGGCACGAAUUCUUUACGAUGCGGAACACCGUGAUAAAGCCACACCGAGCGGCAUCUUCAUAUGGUGUGUGUCCCUAUGUGUCACAUACACCCGUUACCAAGGACCACCCAAGACCGGCGCCAGGCGCCGCGCGAACACCCGAGGGCCGAGCGCUGAUCUUGAUUAUUGAGUCU
rnacentral:rRNA from 1 species